ensembl:lncRNA
CACACACACACACACACACACUAAGCAGCCUUCUAGAAACGACUGUACACAGAUACCACACACAGGCGAUCACAGCCGCUCAAUUCCACUUCAUGUCCUCCACACGCACACGCACACACACACACACGCACACACGCACACACCGAGCGACGGACUGAGGAAAAGAGCCUAUAGACCCACCAGCCAUCGACGGCGGUGCCAUUAUACUCUGAGUUCGGGGAGACUGAGGGAAGCGAGCGAGUCAGGGGGGGAAAUGAUGCCAUAAUUAUUCUCUGGGGUCGAAGGGGACGAAAGGGAGCGCAGAGAAAAGCGGCCUGUCCGACCGCCGCGGUGGAUUCAGUCGAUAGCCGGCGGAGGCGGUUUCGAGAGCUAUUGAGAGCUAGAAAAUUUAAAUUUUGAAAACGGCCAAAGUAUCCCAGUUAGUCCUCUGACAAGCCAUCCAGACUUGGCGGACGAGACGCGCGUGCUAGGUGGCCCACCGACCGUUUGUGAAAAAUCCCCUUUCAGGAUUUUAUCUCGCGAACGGUUUCUCCUUUCUUUCAAUUAGGUCUCCGUCUCCUCCCUCCGCUCACCUGUUACCAUCCCCUCCUGCCUCCCCGUCUCCCCCCCCCGCUAUCUCCCCUCCUUUGUUGGCUCCUGUUAAUGAAAGGAUUAGUGUUGGGCUGCGUUCCCGACGAGGAAGAAAGGAAUAUGACUUGCCGAGGCAUUAAAGAAGAGCUUAAUUAUUUUAGAAUGUCAUUAAGAGGAUAAAAAGGUUUAAAAGUCUUAAGAAGGGCAAGGGGAGUGAAUGAAUUAGGAACUGAAAUGGGUGGAUGUUUUUUUUUCUGAACGCUACCACACAUGUCGACACAUUUAUACACGCAGCAGGCAGCAUACACAUCUCUGAACGCCGUAUUUGUAUAAAAAAAAAAGAGCAGCAACAUAAAUUAAAUGAAUCUUUUAAGAAAAAAAAAAAAGUUUACUAUUGAAACGCAUUAUGAAGCAAAUAUACUAACACAGAAUAUUAGCCUAUAGAGGUGCAAAGCCGAACAAACCUGUCCAGUGAUCUUUAAAGAAAAUAAAGAAAAGAAUAAAAAAAAAAAAAUGUCAUUUGUCUUUAUGAGAAACCAGAGGUUUAAUGGAUUUUUUAUCAAUUGUUAUUAUUUGAACAAUUCUGAUUGUUGUUAAUGUUAUUAUUAUGGCCGUUGGUAUUAUUACAAUUGUAAAUGUUAAAGAAACGUACACUUCCCAUGGUUUGUUUUCCGUUCCACUGUAGAGAAAUUGCUGUCUUUUUUCACUCUUACCUUUCCUCUCUCUUCGUCUUCUGUGCCUAGUCGUCUCUUCUCCUGUCCUUCACUCCCGUUUGGUUCAGAGUCUCAUGCGUAACUGUUGAUGUAUAGCUAACUAUUCUUUAUAGGGGAAAGAUACAAAGCACGAAAAAAUUAAAAAGAAUUCCAAAACAACCCCUGGGAUCCGACUGGUUUUUGGGUCUGUUCACUGUGCACAUGGUUCCGUCCAUGGGGGGCAGUGGAGCUCCAGCUGGGAGGACGAAGAUGUAGGAAACCGAGCCCGUCGUGGCAGCUCAAUUAGGACAAAUAAAAUAAACAGAAGGUUCCGCGGCGCCGCUAAUGAAUCACGGGCACAGACAGAAGUCGCGGGUUGAGACAGCAAAAUGUGACCCCGCCGUUGACUUCCGCACAAUCAAUACCCGAUUGUGUCGGGAGGCACUCAGCGUGUGCAUCCGCGUGCGGGCCUGGAUUUGAAAGCCGCUGGAGGUCGCCGGAGGGGACGGAUCGAUGGGUUUCUCUUCCGUCGGUGGCGAGGCGCCGCGGUCGCCGGUCAUAAAGACAGAUGGUCAAACGGCAAUCAAAGUAAUGGACUCGCCGGGCGCCACCGCCGUGAGUUGACACUCGAUAGACAUAUCUGGAGUUUAUGAUGACGCAGAGUUAGCGUUAGCAGCUCCCGCUAUCUGGGCCACCGUGGUGGAUCAGCAAUGAAGACGGAAAUGUCCUCUGUUCUGCUUCUCCUCACGGGAAGGAAGAGGAAAUAUUUCCUUUUAAAUCCUUUUUCACUAGACAAUAAAAACGACACAUUUUCAGCUGCUAGACGUGAUGAAGAACAUAGACGGUGAUCAUGGAAUCAAUCAAAGACACAAGCAGGAACGACAUUGGUAGCAGUUUAUUCCUCGACAUGUAAACGUGGGAACAUUGUCUCGCCAGUAAUGACAGCGAGAAGCCAGUGGACACAAGAAGCCAGUGGACAGGUAGAAGCCAGUGGACACAAGAAGCCAGUGGACAGGUAGAAGUCAGUGGACAGGUAGAAGUCAGUGGACAGGUAGAAGCCAGUGGACAGGUAGAAGCCAGUGGACAGGUAGAAGCCAGUGGACAGGUAGAAGUCAGUGGACAGAAAGAAGUCAGUGGACAGGUAGAAGCCAGUGGACAGGUAGAAGCCAGUGGACAGGUAGAAGUCAGUGGACAGAAAGAAGUCAGUGGACAGGUAGAAGCCAGUGGACAGCCGUCGCUCCCUCGUGCUACUUUCACCAUUUAACGCCCUGGAGCGUCUCUACGUGAGAUAAUUCCCGGUUUACGGCCCUUUUAUGGCGCUCGUAAUUCAUUUCUACGACUUGGCGCAGGCCGUCCAAAAACAAACUCUUCAUUUUUCUGCUGGAUUAGACACAGUUUUGUCCAUCUGUGAAAUCAACCCCCGGUGACCUCAGAACGGGGCACGCGGCUUGUAGUGCGCGGCGGCGUGGCACGAGGCAUUGAUUGUGGAGCCCGAGUGUGACCAGACCCACAACAAUCAGGGAGCAAAGAGAUUUACGGCCGAGAGAACAAUUGAAUCGGCAGAAGCCGGGGAUUUUUCUUUUUUUUUUACCCCCUUUAUCCUGAUUGAUCCAUAAAUAAUCAGAGUAAUGCACAUCCAACAAAUAGCAAAGCAAAAGAAAUCCAUGUGUAUUUUUUGAGUUCAUACAAAAUAGAUGAAAACAAGACAGCGGCUUUGAGAAUAAAUGUAAAAUAGUCACAGAAUCCGUGAAAAUGAUCAACUGACGAGAAUUGCGAGCGACUAAUUCAAAGCCACAGAGCAGAAAUUGAAAAAAAAACAAAAAAAACAAAUUGGAGAGGGAGAGAAUGAGCUGAAAAAGAAAAAGAAAAGAGAAAUGUCACGUCGAUGUCCCGUGCAGAAGGAGAUGGAUUCUCAAAACAACACGUUUCAAGACGAACAAUCCAAGUGGGGCGAGCGAGGCCCGUUUCAUUACACGUUUAAUCAAAUAGUCAUAACCAGGUUAAUGAUGUUUUCCCUACGCCGCCGCGUCCUCUCUGGACCACAUUUCACUGAGUGUUUAAUUAAACGCUGUCACUCAUAUCUACAUCGCUGGUGGUCGGCUUAGCACAGACUUAGAGGGCUUAUGAUAAUACCACUGGGGGGGGAGAGGGGGGGGGGGGGCAGUCAAAGACAACAGACAUCUGCGAUCAGGAUUUCAUCGCCGAGAGACUUCUCGCUGACAUUUGGUGUGGGCCCUGAUAAUUAACUGGCCUUUUCAUUUACAAGUUAUUCAUGGAGUCUGCGCCAGGUUGCUGAUUAGUCAACAGGCGGACAACAAACGCCGCGCCGUGUUUGUUCUCCGUCAGUCCGCAAGCUGUUGCAAACACUUGCCUUUUUUUUUUUUUUUUUUUUUAACCCGCAUGCACACAAAACAUGGCGGGAACACAAAAACAACGGCGCGCUUGUUUGAGCGGGAAGACUUCAGACCUCUGGGAAGACUUUGGCUUUCAGGGAGCGUUUGGCUGAGGACCAGGGGGCCGCCCGCACGGCCUCGCGCAGCGCCGCGCGCACCGAUUUCCCUCCGGACGCCGCCGCUGCUCCCGGAGGCGGGAGGGGGGCGACCGAGAGGGGAAAGGACGCCCUCUCUCCCCCGACUCGUUUCCCGGGCGGAGUGAAGAGGAUCGGGGGCACGAGGCCGUACAGCUGAAAGAGGAACACGGCGACGGCGUGAACCCAGGCGGGAAGAUUGGUGCCUGAGGUGAAGAGCAGGAGGGCGUGGACGAUGUGGAGCGGCAGGCACAGGAGGACUAAAAGGGAAAGGGACAGCGCCGGGGAACGCGCCUGCCGCGACGCACGUUUAGUGGGGUCUGCGUGACUGAGAGGCGUCUUCCCGGGCCUGACGCACAACAGGUCCAGGUAGACCAGCAGCAGGCAAAGCAAGGGGAGCAUGAACGCCGUCGUCCCGUGGACGUAGAUCAAGAACUGGGGGCUGAGAACGGUGUCGGCGGCGCACACCCCCCAGUGGCUGCUGUGAAUCUCGGCGUAGGUGAAGUUGUGCAUGUCUUCCACGUAAAACUUUGACAGGAAGCCCCCGUACGGAAGGUACUUGCCGAUGACCUUGCGCCCGUGGUCGUACCUAAGGGGCGGGGAAGACGUAAGGCGGGGCGAAGGCGGCGGCGUCGUCCAGUUGCCGUGCAGCCCGAGGCCGGCCGUGUCCGGGUCGGUCGCGCGGCUCCUCCAGGUGUCGAGGACGUCCGAGCCGAUGAACUGGGAGAAGGAGGACAGGACGGAGGCCACCCAGCACAGGAGGACCAGGCAGAGAGCUCGCUGGCGGGUCAUCGCCGAGGAGUACCUGCCGUUCACAAACACAGCAGUGACAGCAAGACGCCUUGAUGCCAAAAUAGACCUAUGUAGGAAAUCUGAUGUACAAAAACCUCCCUUCUACCCACACGAACUGGUGCGAAGACAUUGAAGCCCAUCAAAACGAUAGAUAAUUCUCUCUUUCUAACGCUGAAGGCCGGACUUGUAGGUCACCCUCUCUCAAAUAUCAAAAGGCCCUGAGCCCGUUGAAAUGUGCUCCCUCACCUCUGCUUCUCUCCGAAGGCAGCGUAAGCAGUGUGUGAUACAAAUCUUCCUGGUGAUCAAUGAGAGGCCUAUCGAUGUGUCACGCGGGGGAAAAUCUUGACUUUCUGCUGUUUUUUGAUCUUCCCAUAUGGAUUUUUUUUUUGCUUUACUGCCGUCUUCGCCCUCACCCGUGCUAUGAAAAUGUUACAUGCCGUUGCCAUCGACGGUAUGUAGUGCUGUUUUAUAUUCAUGUUGUUUUGUGUGUUUAUUCAAUACCGUGACAUUCAACAGCUCUUGGUUCUUCCACUGCUCAAACUGACAGACUUACCUGUCUGCCAAGCGGUGCCGCAGGUGGCCAUCCAGCGUGAGGAGCAUCAACAGGAACAUGGUGAACUGCCUGACCAGCAGGGGGCAACACACCAAGGUUAUGCACGUGUACAGACACUGCGGGGUUCGCUGGUUGAGCAACACGUUCGCGGGGAUCCCGGCUGCGCCCCCGACGGCGCCCGCCCAGCCCAAGCACAGGCGGAGACAGCAUGAGACGCUGCCGGGUUGGAGCGUGGCCCCCUGGGAUCCGGCCCCGCUGCCGCUCGCGGCCAUGCACAACCUCACGCUCGCCACGACCACAGCCGCCGACAGGAUGCACUGGCACAGAGAGUACACCCCCAUGCCGUCCAUUUCC